UACACACCCAAAAAAUUAGAUUGGAAACUCUGAAUAUCAUUCAGUAUUUUAUCAGCCAUUUAAAUAUAUCUAGUAUACUACAAACAGAAGUUCUUCACAAGCUCUUUGAUAUAUUAUGUCAUGCUGAUGUGAUUUCUGAAGAUGUAAUUGAAACCUGGAAGGAAACAACAGAUCCCAAUGAACUGGAAUGCUGAUAUUUUACUUUAUUGUACUAAAUUAUUUGUGAAUCACCUGUAUGUAAUAUGUUCAGAAGCAAAAUGAAAAAGAAAAAAAAAAUCGUUCUCAUUUUGUGUCAGCUAAUUUA